rnacentral:misc_RNA from 1 species
UCCGAGUUGACCCCGGCGGUCUCCUGUGAGUCCCCAUCACCCCGAAGGGCAUGCUGGCAACACAGGACAAGGGUUGCGCUCGUUGCGGGACUUAACCCAACAUCUCACGACACGAGCUGACGACAGCCAUGCACCACCUGUAUACCGACAACAAGGGGGCACCUAUCUCUAGGUGUUUCCGGUAUAUGUCAAGCCUUGGUAAGGUUCUUCGCGUUGCAUCGAAUUAAGCAACAUGCUCCGCCGCUUGUGCGGGCCCCCGUCAAUUCCUUUGAGUUUCGGUCUUGCGACCGUACUCCCCAGGCGGAGUGUUUCACGCGUUAGCUGGGCCCCUGAUCCACGUAGACCAAGGGCGAACGCUCAUCGUUUACGGCAUGGACUAC